rnacentral:rRNA from 1 species
GACGAACGCUGGCGGCGUGCUUAACACAUGCAAGUCGAACGAUGAAGAAAAGAAUCGAAGCUUCGGCAGAAAUUCAUUUCGGAUUAGUGGCAGACGGGUGAGUAACGCGUGAGCAACCUACCUCUUACAAAGGGAUAGCCUCGGGAAACCGGGAUUAAUAUCAUAUAACAUUGCGACGAAGCAUUUCGAUGCAAUCAAAGCUACGGCGGUAAGAGAUGGGCUCGCGUCCCAUUAACCGGAUGGUGAGGUAACGGCUCACCAUAGUGACGAUGGGUAACCGGCCUGAGAGGGUGAACGGUCACACUGGAACUGAGACACGGUCCAGACUCCUACGGGAGGCAGCAGUGGGGAAUAUUGCACAAUGGAGGGAACUCUGAUGCAGCGACGCCGCGUGAGUGAUGAAGGAAUUCGUUUCGUAAAACUCUGUUCUAUGGGAAGAAAAGGACUGUACCAUAGGAGAAAGCUCCGGCUAAAUACGUG